GUUUUUAACUCCUGAUGUGUGCUGUGUAGAUGUAUCAGUAAUUUCUUGUACUGUACUAGAAACUUUUGCAGGAGCAGACCUUUUGUAGGCUGAAGCAUUUCUGGCAAUAGUAGCAACUGUCUGACUUUGUAUAUUGAUCCAGAAAUGGUCUGACCGAUAGUGUAGCAAGUGCCUUACUCUCCUUUAUUACAGGGGGGAAAACAAGAAUUAUGUAACUACAUCUCGGAGAGUAUGCUUUGUUCUUCCCCCAACAAUUGUGAAUGCUGUCUGGUAACAUCGUCAGUUACUGUGGGGUAACUCACUCCUCUUCAAUAUUUGUAUACUACUUGAAAGGAGACAAAUGUUACUUCAGAUAACUUCGGUGACAGAACAGGGUAGAAGAGUGAUGGGUUCAGGAAAGAAAAGUGAAAAGGAGGUUCUGCUCCUCAGUUCCCCAGCUGAAAUUUCCUGGAGACCUCAAACUGAAGUGCAUGAUGUAUUACUAACACUGAUGAACUGGGGGACAAGCAAGGAGCAGCUCAGAUGAACUUCCCAGGCAUAGCACCUCAGCAGGGGAGCUGACAGCUAUGGUGAUAGCAAUUUCGAGACUGAGAAACAUGGAAUGAGGUUUUCCUGUUUUUUAAUUUCUUCAAGCAAUUCAUGCGUAGGUGUUUGUCAACGUUUACAUUGUUGAAAUGUUUUUUAAUAUCCUAUCAAAUUAGCCAGAAAGGGUGUGUGAGCUUAUUGAUUUGUUCAUAUAAUGUUAUCUAGCUUUAGUUACAAAAUAGCAAACAUCUUAGUUUGUUUGCACAACUUCCAGAUGGAAGGGUAGAUCUGAAGAAAUUCUAAUGCACUAAAAUACAGAGAUGUAAUUUCAAAAAUCCCAGCCAAGCUUCCACAGAAGCAAUUAUCUUUUUUUAACAGUAGACUUUUCUAGGCUAUUCCUGUAAAACCUGAACAGCGUAAUGCUGUGUUCCCCCAGUUUCUUUUUCCCAGAUCAAAUUCAAAUGUUUUGACAUUAGCUGAGUCUCACAAAUGUAAGAGGAAGCUGAGAUAAAAUUAGAUGACUUCACCUACUGUUACAGAAGAGCUUUCCACUAUUUAUCAGAAUAUUGCAUGAGUGUUGUGAGAAG
rnacentral:lncRNA from 1 species